AGGAUGAUGAUGACGACGAUGAUGAUGAUGCUAUUAAUAAUUACUAUGGAAAUAUUGUUGAGUGCUUGUGUGGUGGGUGCUGUGUGAUGCAUGUUAUAUAUGUCCUUGCAGGAGGGUCUCCCAACAUCCUUAUAAGGCAGGUAACUGGUUACAGCCCCACUAGCCAAGUAAGGAAGCAGAGGCACAGGAAGGCAGGGGGAUAGUAUCUAUUGGCCCCGAGCCUCCCAGACAACAUCUGCUUUUGACUUCUCUGUGCCACCUGCAAAGAACCCAGCACUUCGUACCUGGCACAUUGCAGGUGCCCAACUCACAGCCGCUCCCAUUCCCUUUUGUUCAUCUCGUCCUCAGCCUUUCCGUGAAGGGGUCAGACCACGGAAGCUGAAAGGCCAAACUCAAAGCCUGAUUCCCUUGUUAGACAGAAGAGGAAACUGAGUCCGACUUGGGGGAAGGGACUUGCCUAAGGGCGGGCAGAGAAACCCAGUUCUGCUGGUCUGUGGAGGCCCAGGCAGAUUCUGGGAGCCCCAACAGGGAGGAGACGCUCCCUGGCCCAGGGCGGGGCCUGGCUGCUGCUUUAAAGGGGUUCACGGGGGUGGGUGAGAAGAGCAACUGGGGAGAAAGGGGAGCACCCUUUCUACCCCACCCCUCCCUAAACUCAGCCUCCCCUGCCUGCUUACCACCAGUCAGACCCUGCCCCUUCCCCUCCUGACCCCUCUUUGGGUGAAACUCCAGGCCUGGGAGUUGGGAACUGGUCCCAGCACUCAGGGAACUUGGACCAGCCCCUCAUCCCCAGGCACCAGUAGAAUGGGGGACCGUGACCCGGACUUCCCCCUGCAGGUGUGAGGACAAGUGAGGUAAUGCAGGUGAGAGGCCGAAAACUAGACAGAAAUGGGAGUUGUUGUUAUUUUUAUUAUUACUACCUCAGAUAACUGGUUGGACUGCAUUUUUCCCCAGUUGCCCCUGGGGCCCUGUAGAAACAGCUUCAAACUGUGCUGGAAACUGCUGAGGCUACAGAUCAGGGAAGCUGGGUCCCACCCCAGCUCCCACGCUGACUCGCGGGGGCCCUUGGGACAAGACCCCGCCCCUCUCCGGGUCUCUGAGUCCCAUCUGGACAACGCAGGGUGACAGGACGGGGCGUCUUGCCUCGGGAACUUUGUUAGGUGGCAGCUCUUGGCACUGUUGGGCACGGGAGGCCCUGCUGGGGUGGGGAGACCAGGAAGGGACGGGUCCCUGGCCGCCCCCGCCACCCCGUCCCUGAGCCAGUGCACUUGCUGGGCCUGAGCGUGGUGGGAGUCCUCCCACACCUCGCGCUCCCUCCUCCUCACAAUGUCUUGGGGAGGGAAGGUUGGCCCAUCCCAAGGACCCACCGAGUUAUAAGUGUCAGCCAGGUGGGACCAAGUCAGCCGGGGCAGAGACGGAGCUUGUCUCAGAGGCUGCGUGUGGAGGAAGCCAGGGGAAGGGGAGAAGCGCUUUCCCAGGCGAUGCGAUCUGGGAGUGGGAGGAGGAGUCCGCCCGGCUGGAGAGACGAAGUGUGCACAGCGCCACCUAGGCCCCGAGGGGGGCAACGCAGCACAGCCGGCUGCAGUGUUGCGUGCCUCCCGCACCCGAUCACCCAUCGUGUGCCCACUGUGCGCCCUGGACCUGGGGGCAGCAUCCUGCUAAGACCAGCCACCCCGUCCUUGAGGUGUUCAUGGCACGGCCAAUGGCUGGUCUUGGAGUGGGGCUGCUUUGGUUUCCUAUUUCUGCUUUCUUACAUCCCAGCAGACUGUGUGACCUUGGGCAAGAGACUUAACCUCUCUGAUCCCAUUUUUCAACUGAAAAAAAAAAAGGAAUUCUUUCCUUCCUUGCUGAGCUGAGCUGCUGAGAGCCUGAAGUGGGUAUUGCAUGUAAAGUAUCCAGCACAAGGUCUGUGCAGAGGGAGUGUUUGGUGGCCACUCACUCCUUUUCUCUCUCCUCCACAGCUGAAGUCGUAAGGUGCUAGGAGAACACUGUGUAAGAAACAACUUAUGGCCUGGGAGAAUUGGCAAGACUUUACUGAGAGGAGAGGAGAGGGCACUGGAGCAGGGUUUUGAAGGAUGAGAAGGAGUUCCUUAGGCAGACCAGGGCUCUGUGAAGGCAGGAACCACAUUUUCUUGGAUUAUCCUUAUUUCCCCUAAUGCCUGGUAUAUACUAGGAGGUUGAUACAUAUUUGCAGGAUGGAUGGAUGGCAUUCCAGGUGGCAGGGGCAGCGUGAGCAGAAGUGUGUUCCUAUGCACGGGUCGGUGUCACUGGUGGACACGAGGUUUGGUUUUUCUUCUGGGCCCGCAUGGUACUUUGCUGCCUUGCCCGCAAAAGGCCGUUUUACAUAUGAGUUCACCUGUCUGUGCCCCCAGGGGGCUGUGGGCACCCCAAGGGCAGGAUCCUGCUGCCUUUGCCUUGCUGUCCCUGUGGCCCAGCCAAGGCCUGGCCCAGAGGACAGGUCCUGAAUUCAAUGCUCUGAUGAAGGAUUGAGGAUGCCCCAUUUGACAACUCUCACAAUUCUUGUUUGGGGUGAGGUAGGUGUGUGUGUGUGUGUGUGUGUGUGUGUGUGUGUGUGUGUGUGUGUGCAUGUGUCACUGCUUCCCAUUAGUCUGCUUCCUUUCCCAGAGACCCAAGGAUGAAGUCCAAACACAUUAUUCCUCCUUCCUGGGCCAUUCCUGGUUGGCCUCUGACCCCUUCUGUUUGUACUUCAUUGUACAAACCUCUGUCCAUUUGUACUAUGUACUAUGAGAAACGUAAAGCAGGGCAAAGGCAGCUGGGGGAUCCUGGGCCAGGGGUUGCCAUUUUAGUGGAGGGGGGAUGGCCAAGGAGGAGUCCUCCCCAAUAAGGUGACCUUAGAGCAGAGAGUGUUUCUCCUUCGUUGACUCCCCCUCCAGGCCCUGGGAGCAGAGCUUGCCCUGGCCCUCCCAGCUGGGCUACUCGCCCCACUUUGUGCCCCAGAGUCUUCUUCUUGGCUCUGGGCUGCCUGGCCCAGUGACUUUCUAGCCAUGUGACCUUGGACAACUUGAUCAGCCUUUCUUUGCCUCAGUUUUCUCAUCUGUAAAAUGGGGAUGAAGUAGUAUCUGCUUCCAGGGUGGCUGUGAGCAGGCCAUCUGUUGUUUGCAGAGGGCUCAGGACAGCCCAACACAUGGUAAAUCACUCCAUAAAUGAGGCUGUGUAGCUUUCAUUAUUCCUGCAUUUAUCCCAUUUUAUUUCUGUCCCUCCUGAUGCACCAACAAUGAGUCUUGUGCAAUCUCCGGAAAUGUGCGGCACUUCCCAGGGGAACUUCGGAAGACCUGGGAGUGAGGAUAUGCAGCCUGCCAACUGCUGGACACUAAUGGGCAACUACUUCAUCUGGUCGCCAAAGGAAGAACAACUCACAUGGAAGGGAAAGCCCCCUGGUUGGAAUUGAUGCCUCCAGCAUGACACCUUCCUAAGGGGUUGGCCAGGUGGAUGGUCAAGCUGUGAUUCUCACUGCCUGGGUGGUGACUUUGGCACGGAAGUCCUCCAGGUGUAAGAUGCAGAGGAGAGAGCACCAGGGUGGGGUCAAGAAGCCAGAGCCUGACCCUAACUUGGACUUUGUAUGACCUUGGACAAGUCCCUUCCCUUUUCUGGGCCUUGUGAUUCCUUUCUGUAAAAUGGGGUGGUGGCCAGAGUGAGUGAUUGCACUUCCAGCUCUAACAUUGAAUAAAACAGAUCAUUCAGUCAGUCAACAAA